UAAAUCACCUUCUCCUCCUGAGAUUUAAUUUCAGAAGAUUUUCACCCAGAUUCAAGCCAUGCAGCCUAGUGACGUUACAGGACUCCAUUAUCUAUUUCCCUCAAACCCAUCCCCAUAUUCAGCUUAUUUAAGCAUGACUCAGAAUAACACACCCACAUUUCAAUUUAACAGAUUCACCAAUCCACAAAAUUUCCAGAUUCCUCCUCAGGUUCAGGAAUUCAGUCUACAAUCAUCUUGCCUGAGCAACAACUCAACUUCUGAUGAA
rnacentral:misc_RNA from 1 species